UACAGAGGGUGCAAGCGUUAAUCGGAAUUACUGGGCGUAAAGCGUGCGUAGACGGUUAUGUAAGUCGGGUGUGAAAGCCCCGGGCUCAACCUGGGAAUUGCAUUCGAGACUGUGUAGCUAGGGUACGGAAGAGGGAAGCGGAAUUUCAGGUGUAGCGGUGAAAUGCGUAGAUAUCUGAAGGAACACCAGUGGCGAAGGCGGGUCUCUGGACGUUC
rnacentral:rRNA from 1 species